AGAGUUUGAUCCCUGCUCAGAUUGACCGCUGGCGGCAGGCCUAACACAUGCAAGUCGAACGGUAGCACAGAGGAGCUUGCUCCUUGGGUGACGAGUGGCGGACGGGUGAGUAAUGUCUGGGAAACUGCCCGAUGGAGGGGGAUAACUACUGGAAACGGUAGCUAAUACCGCAUAACGUCGCAAGACCAAAGAGGGGGACCUUCGGGCCUCUUGCCAUCGGAUGUGCCCAGAUGGGAUUAGCUAGUAGGUGGGGUAACGGCUCACCUAGGCGACGAUCCCUAGCUGGUCUGAGAGGAUGACCAGCCACACUGGAACUGAGACACGGUCCAGACUCCUACGGGAGGCAGCAGUGGGGAAUAUUGCACAAUGGGCGCAAGCCUGAUGCAGCCAUGCCGCGUGUAUGAAGAAGGCCUUCGGGUUGUAAAGUACUUUCAGCGAGGAGGAAGGUGUUGUGGUUAAUAACCGCAGCAAUUGACGUUACUCGCAGAAGAAGCACCGGCUAACUCCGUGCCAGCAGCCGCGGUAAUACGGAGGGUGCAAGCGUUAAUCGGAAUUACUGGGCGUAAAGCGCACGCAGGCGGUCUGUCAAGUCGGAUGUGAAAUCCCCGGGCUCAACCUGGGAACUGCAUCCGAAACUGGCAGGCUAGAGUCUUGUAGAGGGGGGUAGAAUUCCAGGUGUAGCGGUGAAAUGCGUAGAGAUCUGAAGGAAUACCGGUGGCGAAGGCGGCCCCCUGGACAAAGACUGACGCUCAGGUGCGAAAGCGCGGGGAGCAAACAGGAUUAGAUACCCUGGUAGUCCACGCCGUAAACGAUGUCGACUUGGAGGUUGUGCCCUUGAGGCGUGGCUUCCGGAGCUAACGCGUUAAGUCGACCGCCUGGGGAGUACGGCCGCAAGGUUAAAACUCAAAUGAAUUGACGGGGGCCCGCACAAGCGGUGGAGCAUGUGGUUUAAUUCGAUGCAACGCGAAGAACCUUACCUACUCUUGACAUCCAGAGAACUUAGCAGAGAUGCUUUGGUGCCUUCGGGAACUCUGAGACAGGUGCUGCAUGGCUGUCGUCAGCUCGUGUUGUGAAAUGUUGGGUUAAGUCCCGCAACGAGCGCAACCCUUAUCCUUUGUUGCCAGCGGUUCGGCCGGGAACUCAAAGGAGACUGCCAGUGAUAAACUGGAGGAAGGUGGGGAUGACGUCAAGUCAUCAUGGCCCUUACGAGUAGGGCUACACACGUGCUACAAUGGCAUAUACAAAGAGAAGCGACCUCGCGAGAGCAAGCGGACCUCAUAAAGUAUGUCGUAGUCCGGAUUGGAGUCUGCAACUCGACUCCAUGAAGUCGGAAUCGCUAGUAAUCGUGGAUCAGAAUGCCACGGUGAAUACGUUCCCGGGCCUUGUACACACCGCCCGUCACACCAUGGGAGUGGGUUGCAAAAGAAGUAGGUAGCUUAACCUUCGGGAGGGCGCUUACCACUUUGUGAUUCAUGACUGGGGUGAA
rnacentral:rRNA from 1 species